rnacentral:lncRNA from 1 species
AUGCCAUGUCUUUUACAGUGCAGUAAAUAUUCCAUUAUAUAUAUAUGUAUGUAUGUACCAUACAUCUUUCAAAUCCUGAAAGAUGAUGCUGUGAAAGUUCUGCACUCCAUAUGCCAGCAAAUUUGGAAAACUCAGCAGUGGCCACAGGACUGGAAAAGGUCAAUUUUCAUUCCAAUCCCAAAGAAAGGAAAUGCCAAAGAAUGCUCAAACUACCGCACAAUUGCACUCAUCUCACAUGCUAGUAAAGUAAUGCUCAAAAUUCUCCAAGCCAGGCUUCAACAAUAUGUGAACCAUGAACUUUCUGAUGUUCAAGCUGGUUUUAGAAAAGGCAGAGGAACCAGAGAUCAAAUUGCCAACAUCUGCUGGAUCAUGGAAAAAGCAAGAGAGUUCCAGAAAAACAUCGAUUUCUGCUUUAUUGACUAUGCCAAAGCCUUUGACUGUGUGGAUCACAAUAAACUGUGGAAAAUUCUGAGAGAGAUGGGAAUACCAAACCACCUGACCUGCCUCUUGAGAAAACUGUAUGCAGGUCAGGAAGCAACAGUUAGAACUGGACAUGGAACAACAGACUGGUUCCAACUAGGAAAACGAGUGCGUCAAGGCUGUAUAUUGUCAUCCUGCUUAUUUAACUUCUAUGCAGAGUACAUCAUGAGAAACACUGGACUGGAAGAAACACAAGCUGGAAUGAAGAUUGCUGGGAGAAAUAUCAAUAACCUCAGAUAUGCAGAUGACACCACUGUUAUGGAAGAAAGUGAAGAGGAGCUAAACAGCCUCUUGAUGAAAGUGAAAGUGGAGAGUAAAAAAGUUGGCUUAAAGCACAACAUUCAGAAAACGAAGAUCAUGGCAUCCGGUCCCAUCACUUCAUGGGGAAUAGAUGGGGAAACAGUGGAAACAGUGUCAGACUUAAUUUUGGGGGGCUCCAAAAUCACUGCAGAUGGUGACUGCAGCCAUGAAAUUAAAAGAUGCUUGCUUCUUGGAAGAAAAGUUAUGACCAAUCUAGAUAGCAUAUUCAAAAUUAGAGACAUUACUUUGCCAACUAAGGUCCAUCUAGUUAAGGCUAUGGUUUUUCCUGUGGUCAUGUAUGGAUGUGAGAGUUGGACUGUGAAGAAGGCUGAGUGCCAAAGAAUUGAUGCUUUUGAACUGUGGUAUUGGACAAGACUCUUGAGAGUUCCUUGGACUGCAAGGAGAUCCAACCAGUCCAUUCUGAAGGAGAUCAGCCCUGGGAUUUCUUUGGAAGGACUGAUGCUAAAGCUGAAACUCCAGUACUUUGGCCACCUCAUGAGAAGAGUUGAAUCAUUGGAAAAGACUCUGAUGCUGGGAGAGAUUGGGGGAAGGAGGAGAAGGGGACGACAGAGGAUGAGAUGGCUGGAUGGCAUCAGUGACUCAAUGGACGUGAGUCUGAGUGAACUCUGGGAGUUGGUGAUGGACAGGGAGGCCUGGCGUGCUGCGAUUCAUGGGGUCACAAAGAGUCGGACUUGA